UACAGAGGGGGCAAGCGUUAUUCGGAAUUAUUGGGCGUAAAGGGCGCGUAGGUGGCUUGUUAAGUCAGACGUGAAAUCCCUCAGCUUAACUGGGGAACUGCGUCUGAGACUGGUGAGCUUGAGUGCAGGAGAGGAACGCGGAAUUCCAGGUGUAGCGGUGAAAUGCGUAGAUAUCUGGAGGAACACCGGUGGCGAAGGCGGCGUUCUGGACUGCAACUGACACUGAUGAACGAAAGCCAGGGGAGCAAACGGG
rnacentral:rRNA from 1 species